UACGUAGGGGGCAAGCGUUGUCCGGAAUCAUUGGGCGUAAAGAGCGUGUAGGCGGUCCGGUCAGUCGGUUGUGAAAGUCAAGGGCUCAACCCUUGAAUGCCGGCCGAUACUGCCGGGCUAGAGUCCGGAAGAGGUGAGUGGAAUUCCUGGUGUAGCGGUGAAAUGCGCAGAUAUCGGGAGGAACACCUAUUGCGAAGGCAGCUCGCUGGGACGUUACUGACGCUGAGACGCGAAAGCGUGGGGAGCAAACAGG
rnacentral:rRNA from 1 species